CCUACGGGAGGCAGCAGUGAGGAAUAUUGGUCAAUGGUAGGGAUACUGAACCAGCCAAGCCGCGUGAGGGAGGACGGCCCUGUGGGUUGUAAACCUCUUUUGUCGGAGAACAAAACCCGGGACGUGUCCCGGGCUGCGUGUAUCCGAAGAAACAGCAUCGGCUAACUCCGUGUCAGCAGCCGCGGUAAUACGGAGGCUGCGAGCGUUAGCCGGAUUUAUUGGGGUUAAAUGGUGCGUAGGCGGUCCGUUAAGUCAGCGGUAAAAUUGCGGGGCUCAACCCCGUCGAGACGUUGAAACUGGCAGACUUGAGUUGGCGAGAAGUACGCGGAAUGCGCGGUGUAGCGGUGAAAUGCAUAGAUAUCGCGCAGAACGCCGAUUGCGAAGGCAGCGUACCGGCGCCACACUGACGCUGAGGCACGAAAGCGUGGGGAUCGAACAGGAUUAGAUACCCUUGUAGUC
rnacentral:rRNA from 1 species